CCAGGGAGAAGGAAGGCCAGGAGAGCGCAGGGCAGAGAGCCAGAGGAAGAUGCUGCCACAGAAGUGCAGAGUGCUCGGCAUCGCCAAGGGGCCCAGGAGGUCACGGAUAUAGCAGGGGCUGCCGUCAUAGCAGCACAUCGUGUCUGCCCUGGGCCAGGCACUCUUUGGCGGGUGUUAUGUUUAUGACCUCAACUAUUCCUCCUAACACAUGGAGGUAGGAACCUGCCAUCAUCUGCGUGUUAGAGACGAAGCAAGGGACAUGGAGAGUGGCGCAAAGAACUCUCACCAGGUCACCAACAAGUGACAGAGCCCGGACCCAACUCCGGUUGGGCUGGCUCUGAAGUCUGUGCUCUGAAACAGUGUGCUAAGACUGCGACUGAAAAUUUUCCCCAGAACAGCGACAAGAGAGUCAUGGUGGGCCUUAUGGGGAGCAGCUCCCACAGAGAGGAAGGGGCAGGGACGGUCACAGUGGACGCAAGGGAGAGACUUGGAACCUUGGCUCUGAUGGGAGGAAGGAGCCACAGCUGAGAAUGAGAGUGAGAUGGUGGAGAGAACAGAGAUUUGGAACAACUGCUGUGGAGAAGGGCACAGAGAGCUGCCUGGAGGCACAAGCAGGGGUGUGGGGAGUGCCGAGAGGCCAGCUGGAUCCGAGACCGCUGCACGUGGCCUGUGUUUGGUGUCCCCAGCUGGGUACAAAUGCCACUAUCCAGUGUGGAAGCAAAGACCAGCUUGAAGCCCACAAGCCCCUAUGAGCAGGAAGUAAGGUUCUUGGCCCCAAAACCUUCCUGCCCUGAGGUGGCUGCUAACCCCCAGGGGGCUUACUCCGUCUAAAGGCUUGUUCUGGUCAUGCUCACCUCAGUGCCAGCAGCCUGCAGGGAACAUCUCUCUUUUGCCAUUAAAUAUUUAUUUUCCUCUGGUAACAGUCCCCAGAUUUGACUUUGAGGAGACUAGCCUCCCUUAUUCUCAACUAUGUGAUAUGGGUGGGAUUGACCUCACUCCUAGCUCCAGGUCGAGUCCUGAUUAGCUUGAGCUAAAAAAAAAAAUUCCCAUCUCCUGGCAAUAGUAGGAAAAUAUUCCACUUUUUCAGAACCAAGGAGGCAAGAGAGCUGUUUGCCAGUGUUCCUGGGAAAGGGGAACUCCUUCCUUCCCCUGCGUGUGCUGUCAGAAGAGACCAUUUCUCUUCCCCUGGAUGAUAUGGUGUCAAGAUGUAUGUCUGGAACUGCUGCAGCCAUUUUGACAUCAUGAGGUAUCUUAGGUCAUGCUAGGGUAGGGACUCCUGAGAUCUGGUGAUGAGCCUGUCCCCAUGAAAAGCAUAUUGGAAGGGCUGGGAAAAUCUGAGUCCUUGGAGAAACUGGCCACGCUCCUGGAUCAUGCCUCUCUUGAAGCCAGACUACUGAGGGGUUUUUAUGAGGUUUGAAGCAUAUGAAACUGUUGAUACCUUGACGAGUGUUGACCUACAAGAAUGGCAGUUUCUUUCAAUUCAACCUGAAAGUUGAAAUUCAUAAAUCAUCCUGAUUGUCUAAGUCAGUGAUAGGCGAGUUUUUCAUCAUUUGCAGCUCAAAGACUCAUAGCUAACAUGAGCUGGAACUAGCACCACGCCCCAGGAAGGAGACACUCACCAGGGAAUCGGAGCUGACUGCUCCAGAACCCGUCUCUGGGGGCUGCUGCCGCCACUGGCUUCUCCUGCUGCUGAAACCUGAGAAAUACAAGAGGUACAACAGUUGGCUGUCGUGGCGACUGCCACCAGCUCCUAUGGCGAUGCCCAAGGGGGACAGAGAUGUGGGUGAGCUUGGAUUAAUUGACAUCUGGUUUCCAUCAGCCCCAGCCAGAUAAGAGGCAGUUGCUUAUAUGGGGGAGGAGAAAUAAGUCAGAGUGAGAGUAGGUCGUAAGGCAGAGUUUGCAUGUGUGCUCUUCCCACAUAAAGCAUGUCCAUGUCCUUGUUUCUCCUGACCGAGCCUCGUCUUCCCGGCGGAGCCAGAAGGAACUCCUGGGUGGCGGGAGGGCCAUGCCUGGAGCAGGGCUGUGUGCCCCUUCACCUCCCCUGUGGGAGAGGAGCCAGUCUCAGGGAGGGACAACACUUGCUUCACAAGCCAAGAAGGCAAAACUUUGUUUUUUCUCAGUCCAACAAAGGUCAGCAUGGGCCUCUAGCACUUCUUGCUUUCCCAACCAGCAAAGAACAUUUGACACAACGAUGUGAUGAAAUGUUGCUGACAAUCUGUCAGAGCUGGAACCUUCCAAGCCAAGGGCCCUUUCAUAGUUUUUCUCUCAAGGCAGGGAG
rnacentral:lncRNA from 1 species